AGCAUAUCAAUAAGCAGAGGAAAAGAAACUAACAAGGAUUCCCCUAGUAACUGCGAGUGAAGCGGGAAAAGCUCAAAUUUAAAAUCUGGUGGUCUUUAGCCAUCCGAGUUGUAAUUUAGAGAAGCAUCUUCCGCGCUGGACCGUGCACAAGUCUCCUGGAAUGGAGCGUCAUAGAGGGUGAGAAUCCCGUCUUUGGCACGGACAUGUCAGGGCUUUUGUGAUGUGCUCUCAAAGAGUCGAGUUGUUUGGGAAUGCAGCUCAAAAUGGGUGGUGAACUCCAUCUAAAGCUAAAUAUUGGCGAGAGACCGAUAGCGAACAAGUACCGUGAGGGAAAGAUGAAAAGCACUUUGGAAAGAGAGUGAAACAGUACGUGAAAUUGUUGAAAGGGAAACGCUUGAAGUCAGUCGUGUUGACCAAGACUCAGCCUUGCCUUGGCUUGGUGUAAUUCUUGGCUGACAGGCCAGCAUCAAUUUUGUCUCUUGGAUAAUGGUAAGGGAAAUGUGACACCUUUAUGGUGUGUUAUAGUCUCUUGUCGCAUGCAAGGGUUGAGAUUGAGGAACUCAGCAUGCACCUUUUGGGUGUCGGAGCUUUGCUCACGAUACAUGCUUAGGAUGCUGGCAUAAUGGCUUUAAACGACCCGUCUUGAAACACGGACCAAGGAGUCUAACAUGCCUGCGAGUGUUUGGGUGGAAAACCCAUGCGCGUAAUGAAAGUGAAAGUUGGGACCUUUGUCGUGAAGGGCACCGACGCCCGGACCAGACCUUCUGUGACGGCUCUGCGGUAAAGCAUGUAUGUUAGGACCCGAAAGAUGGUGAACUAUGCCUGAAUAGGGUGAAGCCAGAGGAAACUCUGGUGGAGGCUCGUAGCGAUUCUGACGUGCAAAUCGAUCGUCAAAUUUGGGUAUAGGGGCGAAAGACUAAUCGAACCAUCUAGUAGCUGG
rnacentral:rRNA from 1 species